CUUGUAUGAUCACUAACCAU
rnacentral:miRNA from 1 species